rnacentral:lncRNA from 1 species
CAUAUAUGCAAGCCUGCAUAUAUGUUUUCAAAUGUCCUGAUUGGCUGAAAACCAAAUACCAGGAAUUGCAACCACAGAUUGCAACAGAGGCCUCGAGUGGCUUCAGCAUUUGGACGAUAAUUAAUAGUCUUAUAAUAGCGCUGAAGCUCGCCAAGAAGUCUUUAUUCGACUUUAUAUUUUAUUACGGUUGGGAAGAUUUCUAUAGCUGCCAAUUUUUAAUUAAGACUUUGUAUAAUUGCUUCCCAAAUAUUGGAACAUUGUCAAAAAUAAUUCAAUUCUUUUAAAAUAAAGGUUUUAUUGUUUGAUAUAUCAUUCUGCUUAAGCCAAGGAGAAUUGAAGUGUAUAGGCUGUAUAUAGCAUAUACUUGACUAUACAACUCUUUUGAGAGCAAGGCUACAAGAGCAUAAAGAAACUCACAGGACAACUUAAAUUUGAAAAGGUUUGUAGUAAUAUAUAAUAUAUAUAGUUAAUUAUGGACUUAAAGAAUGACGAGCAGUUUUAAUAAGAUCGAAAUAUAAGCAAUCUUACAGUAAAUCAGUGAAUGGUCUCCUAUAUAGAUCGACGUUUUAAUUUUCGGUUUUGUAUUCCAUUACUCAUUAGCAUUUCGGGCAAUAAGCUUUUCUCUUCAAUAUAUUCUGUAUAAAGGCUUUUUACAUUUUCAGUGUAGCCGGCGUAACUGCCAAGUUUUAAGUCAGUGCUUGCUUUCUUUACUAAAAUUUUGGACCUCGUGAAAUUCUGAGAUACACUUUUGGAUAAAACGGCGAACGAUGUUACAGCUUGCCCCUCUCCCUAACCCCACAUCUCUCAAACGCUAUAUAUGAACAUAUUGAUGAAUCUCACUAUACAGCUAUAUUUUUCAACCUUUAGGUACUGAAAAUGGUGUACCGGAAAUUCUCCAUCGUAUUAAAGAUUCUCGAAUUUGUAAGAACAUUGUGAUUAAUAUUCAUGAGAUUGGUUGUUAUUGUUUUCAGUUUUGUUAUUAUACCGCGACCAUUGAAAUAUAUUUUAGUUCAAUGACCGCGACCAUGAUAGUGGCUCCCAAAGGAAAUG